GGGGUUAUGGCUCAGUGGUAGAGUGCCUGCCUAGCAUGCAGGAGGCACUGGGUUCAAUCCUUAGCAUCA
rnacentral:tRNA from 1 species